rnacentral:sRNA from 1 species
UAUGUAUCAACUGUGCUUAUUGGUCCUUC